UUUCCCUCCGUCAACUAAUGACGAAACAAACACCAAAAUAAUUAAUUUUCUUUUCUCUCAUUCUCUCUUUUCUUCACAAGAAAACUAACUGUUAAAUUCAAUCUCUGAAACCCUAAAUUUUACUUCCCUCUCUCUAAAUCAAUAAAGUCACUAUCUUUCUUCAAAUUUAAUUACAAUAAAAACUGCACACUGGGUCUCGUCCCUGCCUUUAUUUGUUACAUUGAUUUCAAUUUUGCUAAUACAUUCACCCAAGGCAUCAGUCGCUGUUGCAACAGAGUGAGGCAGGAAAUUGUAUUUUACCUCCACCAGAGAUGAUAUUGAACAAUUUUAAUGGUUAUAGAUGUAAAGGGUUCUAGACUUUGACGUGUCACAGUUUUCGGACACUACGGAUCUUGUUAUUUCUUUACGGCAAUGGAUUCUAAUAAUAUCAUCACAGGCAUUGAAAUUUUGGAACCUCGUGAUGAUAUGGAGUUUGAUUCACAUGAAGCUGCUUAUUCAUUUUACAAAGAAUAUGCAAAGUCUGUUGGGUUUGGUACUGCCAAAUUGAGCAGCCGGCGUUCAAGGGCAUCAAAGGAGUUCAUUGAUGCAAAAUUCUCAUGCAUAAGAUAUGGGAACAAACAGCAAUCUGAUGAUGCCAUUAAUCCCAGACCUUCUCCAAAAAUUGGUUGCAAAGCAAGCAUGCAUGUGAAGAGGAAACCAAACGGGAAAUGGUACAUUUACAGUUUUGUGAAAGACCAUAAUCAUGAGCUCUUGCCUGCCCAAGUGCAUUUCUUUCGGAGCCACAGGAAUGCUGAUUCCCUUAAGAGUGAUGCCAGAAUACGGAGACGGAAAAAUUUGGCUACAGUGUCCAAAUUAUUUGGUGCAUAUCAAAAUGUUGAUUGUUUGGAAGGUUAUAUGAGAAAUCAGCAUGAUAAGGGGCGAACUUUGGUUCUUGAAGCAGGAGAUGCACAACUACUGCUUGAACUUUUUAUGCAUAUGCAGGAAGAUAACCCAAAGUUCUUCUACGCUGUUGAUUUAAAUGAAGAGCAUAGGUUAAGAAACUUCUUCUGGGUUGAUGCAAAAGGUGUGGAGGACUUCAAUAAUUUUGGUGAUGUAGUUUGUCUUGAUACUACAUAUUUCACAAACAAGUAUAAACUUCCUUUGGUCCUCUUUAUUGGAGUGAAUCAUCAUAUUCAGCCUACAUUGCUUGGUUGCGCAUUGAUUGCAGAUGAGACAGUUUAUACAUUUUAUUGGUUGAUGCAAACAUGGUAUAUUGCGAUGGGUGAGCGAGCUCCACGCAUGAUGCUCACUGAUCAAAACAAUGCCAUAAAAACAGCUAUUGCAGCGGUUUUUCCACAAACGCGUCAUUGUUUUUGCUUGUGGCAUAUAUUGGAGAAGAUCCCUCGGCAGCUUGAGUUUUUGAGCCCAUGGCAUGAAAGUUUUAUGUUAAAAUUUAAUAAGUGUAUUUUUAAAUCAUGGACAGAGGAGCAGUUUGAAAAGCGAUGGUGGAAAUUACUUGACAAAUUUAAUAUUAGGGAGGUGGAAUGGGUUCAAUCAUUAUAUGAAGAUCGCAAAUAUUGGAUCCCUGCUUUCAUGAGAGGUGUAUCUUUUGCUGGUUUGUCUACAAUUUUGCGAUCUGAAAGUGUGAACUCUUCAUUUGACAAAUAUGUGCGCUGGGAAACAUCGAUGAGAGAGUUUAUAGAGCAAUAUAGAUUAUUACUUGAAGAUAGGUAUGAAGAGGAAGCUAGAGCCGAUUUUGAUGCAUGGCAUGAAACACCUGAAUUGAAGUCCCCAUCACCUUUUGAGAAAAAAAUGUCACUUGUGUAUACGCAUGAAAUUUUCAAGAAGUUCCAAGUUGAGGUUUUGGGAGCUGCCGCUUGUCAUCUGAAGAAAGAAUCUGAGGAUGAGACAAGCACAUUGUAUAGUGUCAAAGAUUUUGAAGACAAUCAAAGUUAUAUGGUUGAGUGGAAUGAAUCAAAAUCAGAAAUUUGUUGUUCAUGUCGUUCAUUUGAAUACAAAGGUUAUCUUUGCAGGCAUUCUAUUGUCGUGCUUCAAAUGUCUGGUGUAUUUAGAAUUCCACCUAAAUAUGUAUUGCAACGAUGGACGAAUGCUGCUUUGAGUAAGCAUUCCAUUAGUGAAAAACUGGAGGAGGUGCAAACUAAGGUCCGUCGUUACAAUGAUCUAUGUCGACGAGCCAUUAUUUUGGGUGAAGAGGGUUCACUUUCUGAAGAGAGUUAUAAUAUUGCGCUGCGCUCCAUAAAAGAAGCUUUAAAGCAAUGUGCAAUUCUGAAUAAUUCUGCUAACAAUGUUGUUGGUUCUACCUCUUUAUUUAGCAUUGAAGAGGAGAAUCAAUGCAGUACUACAUCUAAAGAUGUGGUAUCGGAUCCUCACUUGACUGGUACAUACAAGACUCCUAGGAGAGUUGAAGCUGGAAAAGGGAAAGAAGACAGUGAAAGUAAUGCAUUUAAAAAAGGAAAGCAGGUACCUCAGUCGGGAACUGCUAGUGUCGGGUCACAGGAUAGCUUCCACCUAAUGGAGAUGUGUGACUUAGGGCCAACACAAUCACAUAAUAUAGUGACACCACAGUUGCAGAAUAUGGUGCCAACAGUGUUUCAUAGCAUGACAUCAUCAGAGUUUCAUAAUAUGGCUCCAAGUCACCUGCCUGAGGCUCGACUUCCUCAGUAAUGUGCUGUUGCAAUUAUUUGUAAAGUGUUUGUACACAUUUUCUGGCGAUAGGACUGUAGGAAAAGAAGCUAACCAUUUUUCAGAGUCGAACUUGCAAUUUUUAUUUGUGGUAUGAUGUGGAGCUAACUGAUCAUCAAGUGGUUUAUGUGAAUGCAUUGAGGAAGAAAGUGAAGGAUUAUAGAGAAGAAAAAAAUGAGGCUUUAAUACAAGCUGGGGAAGCACAAGCUAUUAGCUCAUGUGCUCUAGAACAAAUGAAGGGCUACCAAACAGAGAAUGAAACAAUGAAGAGUGAGAUUGAAGCAUUGAAGUCUGACAAUAUAGCAUUAAGGGCUAAAAGUUGUGUUCUUAAGUGUGAAUAUCAGUUGCUAAAAGAGGAAUAUGGACUUCUAAUGAUGGAGAUUGAUAUUCUGAAGGAGAAAGUGAAAUCAAUGGAGGGGAAUGGGAUUAUGAAGAAAAUGCUAAUGGUUGGUGCUUGUCUUGCUGUUUAUGGAAAUGCGGUAUAUGCUCUGUGAUGUAUAGAGUAGUGUUUCUGGUGCUUGUCUUGUCUUGCUGGUGCUUGCCUUGCUGUUUUUGGGAAUGUAUGUUAAAACAUUUCACAAACUGCAUAUAUGUUAUAUUUGCAGUUUGUAAAACUUGAUCGUUUUGCUUUUUAUCAGAUGUAUUUGUUUAAUGUUGAAGGCAUUAAC